rnacentral:lncRNA from 1 species
AUCCGGUUGGCUCUGUUUCUAGGAGGAUCCUGCCUUUUCGAACUCAGUCAUUACUUCCAUGUCAACACUGCUAAUGGAGACACAGGAGGCGCCAUUCCACUCGUGUUUUUUAACAGACUCCACCGGACUUCCCUCAGAAACAGGGCUGAACUGGAGAAACAACCGUUUAAAACACAGCAUUGUCUAUCUGCUACAUGAAGACCCCGGUGCUCAGACACAUGACACUGGUUGGCACAGAUCCCAUCAGUGACACUCCAUGGCCCUACAACGACCACUAGCACCAAUGUCCUCUUCUAUCCUCGGCACAGGCACUUGAAUGGCUUUGCCAAGAAAAGUGUUCUCUAAAGAUAAAGUAACACAAAGACAAGAGAAAGAAAGAGAGACAGAGAUACACAGUGGUACACCUUAGGGGAAGUAACAUAGGAUUGUGGAGGUUGUGAAACCCAACACUACAUGGAAGCUAGAGAAUCAGGGAAGCUAGUCACAUAGCUCAGUCUAGAUCCAAAUAUUGUAGAACCAGAAGGUCAGAGACUUAGGAGUGUGCCUACAAGUGCUGGUAGGAGAUGUACUUGUCCCAGAGUCCAAAGGCCCAUUGACCUGGAGUUGUGAGGACUGAGAACAAGGCAGAUGUCUCUCUCAGCUUGGUAAGGAAAGGAAGAAGACAAUGCAUGUAAAUGUUGGCUUGACUCAUGGGGUGGAGCUCUAAUUAGUUAUCCCAGUCAGAAAUGACAAGACGCCUUCCUUAUACAGUCUACCAAGUCAAAUGCCAGUCCCUUCCAGAAAUACCCUCACAGACGUAACCAGAAAUAGUGUUCUACCAGAUAUCUGGAUAUCCCUUAAUUCCCUCAAGUUGGCACUUACAAUUGCGUACCACUGUGCAGAAUUGAUGCAUCGUCUCCCAACCCUGCUCUUCCUUGUAAACUUUCACCUACUCUAAAUGAGCAUGGAAAGUCAGAACAACCCUGCCUGCUUGGCACACUGCACAUGAACUCAGCAAGGUGAACACUUACUAGCACUACAGAGGCCCAUUGACCCGUCGCACGCAGCUGUGUGUGUUUAUUCGCAAGUAAAGAGGAAGAGCUGGGACUGUGGCUGUAAAAAGGAAAGCUGGAC